GUUCAUUUUUCAUGGAUGAACAUAAAUAAUUUUCUGGAUUUCAUCUUCUUUUAUUCAUUAAUACAACGUUUCGGGGUCUGUUCCGGACCUAUCAUCAGGUAACACUAAUAAACACUGAACCGUGUCAUUAACUG